rnacentral:lncRNA from 1 species
CAGCAAUUUGAUUCAUGAAAAAUAAAGAGGAUACAAACCACUCUUUAAAUUCCCAUGAAUCUUCAAUGAGAUUUGUCAAUUCUUUACUUAGAAUCACUCUAAUGUCUUCUUAUCUCAAGAUUAGUACAAAUUUAGCUUCAAGGUCCGAGUGAUAAAACCCUAAGACUAGGAUAAAGAAGAUGAAUAAUGAAUGAUUGAAUAAGGGUUUUAAGCCCUUUUUGAGAAUUG